rnacentral:rRNA from 1 species
UGGGGAAUUUUGGACAAUGGGGGCAACCCUGAUCCAGCAAUGCCGCGUGUGUGAAGAAGGCCUUCGGGUUGUAAAGCACUUUUGUCCGGGAAGAAAUCGCACCUGAUAAUACCGGGUGUGGAUGACGGUACCGGAAGAAUAAGGACCGGCUAACUACGUGCCAGCAGCCGCGGUAAUACGUAGGUUCCAAGCGUUAAUCGGAAUUACUGGGCGUAAAGCGUGCGCAGGCGGUUGUGCAAGACCGAUGUGAAAUCCCCGGGCUUAACCUGGGAAUUGCAUUGGUGACUGCACGGCUAGAGUGUGUCAGAGGGGGGUAGAAUUCCACGUGUAGCAGUGAAAUGCGUAGAGAUGUGGAAGAAUACCGAUGGCGAAGGCAGCCCCCUGGGAUAACACUGACGCUCAUGCACGAAAGCGUGGGGAGCAAACAGG